AAUGGGCGCAAGCCUGAUGCAGCGACGCCGCGUGAGGGAUGGAGGCCUUCGGGUUGUAAACCUCUUUUAUCGGGGAGCAAGCGAGAGUGAGUUUACCCGUUGAAUAAGCACCGGCUAACUACGUGCCAGCAGCCGCGGUAAUACGUAGGGUGCAAGCGUUAUCCGGAAUUAUUGGGCGUAAAGGGCUCGUAGGCGGUUCGUCGCGUCCGGUGUGAAAGUCCAUCGCUUAACGGUGGAUCCGCGCCGGGUACGGGCGGGCUUGAGUGCGGUAGGGGAGACUGGAAUUCCCGGUGUAACGGUGGAAUGUGUAGAUAUCGGGAAGAACACCAAUGGCGAAGGCAGGUCUCUGGGCCGUUACUGACGCUGAGGAGCGAAAGCGUGGGGAGCGAA
rnacentral:rRNA from 1 species